GUGAUCCUACGGGGCGCAGCAGUGGGGGAUAUUGCACAAUGGGGGAAACCCUGAUGCAGCGACGCCGCGUGUGGGAAGACGGUCCUCUGGAUUGUAAACCACUGUCCCCAGGGACGAAGAUGACGGUACCUGGGGAGGAAGCUCCGGCUAACAACGUGCCAGCAGCCGCGGUAAUACGUAGGGAGCGAGCGUUGUCCGGAAUUACUGGGUGUAAAGGGAGCGUAGGCGGGGAUGCAAGUUGGGGGUCAAAACUACCG
rnacentral:rRNA from 1 species